rnacentral:rRNA from 1 species
ACGCUGGCGGCGUGCUUAACACAUGCAAGUCGAACGGGAUCCCGGGGGUUCGCCUCCGGGUGAGAGUGGCGAACGGGUGAGUAAUGCGUGACCGACCUGCCCCAUACACCGGAAUAGCUCCUGGAAACGGGUGGUAAUGCCGGAUGCUCCAGUCCAUCGCAUGGUGGUCUGGGAAAGAUUCCAUCGGUAUGGGAUGGGGUCGCGUCCUAUCAGCUUGAUGGCGGGGUAACGGCCCACCAUGGCUUCGACGGGUAGCCGGCCUGAGAGGGCGACCGGCCACAUUGGGACUGAGAUACGGCCCAGACUCCUACGGGAGGCAGCAGUGGGGAAUAUUGCACAAUGGGCGCAAGCCUGAUGCAGCGACGCCGCGUGCGGGAUGGAGGCCUUCGGGUUGUAAACCGCUUUUGAUCGGGAGCAAGCCCUUCGGGGUGAGUGUACCCUUCGAAUAAGCACCGGCUAACUACGUGCCAGCAGCCGCGGUAAUACGUAGGGUGCAAGCGUUAUCCGGAAUUAUUGGGCGUAAAGGGCUCGUAGGCGGUUCGUCGCGUCCGGUGUGAAAGCCCAUCGCUUAACGGUGGGUCUGCGCCGGGUACGGGCGGGCUGGAGUGCGGUAGGGGAGACUGGAAUUCCCGGUGUAACGGUGGAAUGUGUAGAUAUCGGGAAGAACACCAAUGGCGAAGGCAGGUCUCUGGGCCGUCACUGACGCUGAGGAGCGAAAGCGUGGGGAGCGAACAGGAUUAGAUACCCUGGUAGUCCACGCCGUAAACGGUGGAUGCUGGAUGUGGGGCCCGUUCCACGGGUUCCGUGUCGGAGCUAACGCGUUAAGCAUCCCGCCUGGGGAGUACGGCCGCAAGGCUAAAACUCAAAGAAAUUGACGGGGGCCCGCACAAGCGGCGGAGCAUGCGGAUUA